ensembl:scaRNA
CUGGAGACUAAGAAAUGAGAGUCCUUGAAGUCAAGCCGACUCUGCCUUUAGCCUCCUAAAUGAAAAGGUAGAUAGAACAGGUCUUGUUCGCAAAGGAAGUUCAAGACCUACUUAUCUACCAACAGCA